UAGGGAAUCUUCGGCAAUGGGGGGAACCCUGACCGAGCAACGCCGCGUGAGUGAAGAAGGUUUUCGGAUCGUAAAGCUCUGUUGUUAAGGAAGAACGAGUGUGAGAAUGGAAAGUUCAUGCUGUGACGGUACUUAACCAGAAAGGGACGGCUAACUACGUGCCAGCAGCCGCGGUAAUACGUAGGUCCCGAGCGUUGUCCGGAUUUAUUGGGCGUAAAGCGAGCGCAGGCGGUUGGAAAAGUCUGAAGUGAAAGGCAGUGGCUCAACCAUUGUAGGCUUUGGAAACUGUUUAACUUGAGUGCAGAAGGGGAGAGUGGAAUUCCAUGUGUAGCGGUGAAAUGCGUAGAUAUAUGGAGGAACACCGGUGGCGAAAGCGGCUCUCUGGUCUGUAACUGACGCUGAGGCUCGAAAGCGUGGGGAGCGAACAGG
rnacentral:rRNA from 1 species